AGUUUUGUCUUAUAAUAAAAUAUAAUGUAAUAGUUAAAAAAUAUAUAUACAUACAACUGUAUCUUCCCUAACGGAUCAGUGAUUAGUCUUUCUGUUACCCUCAGUCGUUGGGGUGUCUGCUGACGAUGAGGUGAGCCGCGUGAUGUCCUCUUCGCACACAAUGAGCUCCAGUCACUGGGAGGCUGAGGUGGGGGAUGGAGACAUGGACAUGGAUGAGGAUUUUGAGUUGCCGAAAAUUGCUGUAAACCAGAGUGGCUUGUGCCAGCAAUUCAGCACUGGGCUGAAGAGGAAGUUCAAGAACCGUCACAAUAUGGUGGAGGUUUACAACAAGCAGUCUUUGAAGACCGUCCAGCAACAUGUCUCCUCCCUCAACAUUGAAGUUACCAAAUACAGGUCAGUUAGUAAGUAGUUAGUGUUAUAAAGCUGACAUUUACAUCAACUAGUCAUAGUGGCUAAUAGAUUUCAAAAUGAAUAUGCACAUUCGAUGUUUUUUACCAUCAAGAUAAAGCUUAUUUUGAUGGCUGGUUGCCCAUCACGGUGGUUCUUAGAGAAAACGAGUACAGUCAGCACAGCAGUCAGUAUUCACUUGGUACAUAAAGUACUUGUGUGUUUUAUGGGCUCAAAGUCUACAGUGUUCUGCGACCCUGCAAUCUGAAACACACGGUGUAUUUUUUGUCGGCUUUAUGUUUUAGAUUUCCACUUGACUGGUUAAUUCUCUCCUCUGUUCAGGACUCAGAGGCUUGAACAGGUUCAGAAGGUCCUCUUGGACGAGAUCAACAAACUGGAGCAGGACGACACUGUGCUUAACCACAUGGAGACAGACCUGACUGUAUGUCCCUCAGUCUCGGUCUUUUAUUAAUAUUAUUCUGUUAAAUGAGAUUGCCACUUAUUAUAGUGUGUUCUUGAUGUUGAUUUAAUCAGUGUUUUGUCUCUCACAGAUGUACUGGAAAAAGCAGACUGUGGCUUUCCAUUCUUACCAGGAGCGGGAAACUAUGAGGUGAAAGUUAACUAUGUGUGUGUGUGUGUGUGUGUGUGUGUUUGUGUGUGUUUGUGUGAGCACUGAAAGAGACAUAUUGUUAGCGUGAUGCUGUCUUCCUGC
rnacentral:lncRNA from 1 species